AGGACGAACGCUGGCGGCGUGCUUAACACAUGCAAGUCGAGCGGAAAGGCCCUUCGGGGUACUCGAGCGGCGAACGGGUGAGUAACACGUGAGUAAUCUGCCCCUAGCUCUGGGAUAGCUCCGGGAAACCGGGAUUAAUACCAGAUACGACCACUUUAGACAUCUGUUGUGGUGGAAAGAAUUUUGGCUAGGGAUGAGCUCGCGGCCUAUCAGCUUGUUGGUGAGGUAACGGCUCACCAAGGCGACGACGGGUAGCCGGCCUGAGAGGGCGACCGGCCACACUGGGACUGAGACACGGCCCAGACUCCUACGGGAGGCAGCAGUGGGGAAUAUUGCGCAAUGGGCGAAAGCCUGACGCAGCGACGCCGCGUGGGGGAUGAAGGCCUUCGGGUUGUAAACCCCUUUCAGCAGGGACGAAGCGAAAGUGACGGUACCUGCAGAAGAAGCGCCGGCUAACUACGCGUCAGCAGCCGC
rnacentral:rRNA from 1 species